rnacentral:rRNA from 1 species
CCUACGGGAGGCAGCAGUGAGGAAUAUUGGUCAAUGGACGAGAGUCUGAACCAGCCAAGUAGCGUGAAGGAAGACUGCCCUAUGGGUUGUAAACUUCUUUUAUAUGGGAAUAAAAUGUUCCACGUGUGGGAUUUUGUAUGUACCAUAUGAAUAAGGAUCGGCUAACUCCGUGCCAGCAGCCGCGGUAAUACGGAGGAUCCGGGCGUUAUCCGGAUUUAUUGGGUUUAAAGGGAGCGUAGGGGGAUGUUUAAGUCAGUUGUGAAAGUUUGCGGCUCAACCGUAAAAUUGCAGUUGAAACUGGCAGUCUUGAGUACAGUAGAGGUAGGCGGAAUUCGUGGUGUAGCGGUGAAAUGCUUAGAUAUCACGAAGAACUCCGAUUGCGAAGGCAGUUCACUGGACUGCAACUGACGCUGAGGCUCGAAAGUGUGGGUAUCAAACAGGAUUAGAUACCCGAGUAGUC